rnacentral:misc_RNA from 1 species
AAACACCCGCGCAUCACCCGAAUCACCCCCACCAAGGACGCGUGCGUUUGCGAGUCAACACAGGAGCGGCUUACUUCUUUGCUUCCUUUGCAUAUCCCCCCGCACCAUGUCCCUCUCGGGGGCGUGCGACGCCAUCGCCGGCAUCUCAGACACCACUACACACGCACAGGUCACCGCUAUCGCUAGGCAGUGCGAGGCGCACCUCGGCAACGUGAAUGAGCUGCUCGAUGCACUGGAAAACACGCUGUCCACCUCGGCUGGGGCCCAGCGGCUGAUGCUGUGGUUUCUCGUGGACCGGCUGGCAAAGCAGCACACACUUUUUGGUGACGCGCUGCGCCCGAUGCUGAUCCACUUGUGCACUCACUACGCGCCUACGCGCACCUCGGACGAGUGGCAAGACUUCGCGACCCUCUUGAAGAGCUCGCUGUCGGUCACUUUUGGGCAAACAAUGGUGUCCCUCAUCCUGCUACAGCUCGGCGAAGACGCGAAGGCGAGCGGGCCGGCCAAGGACAGCAACAAACAGCAUGCGCAGCGUAAGCUGCGUGGCAGCACCGCUCUCACAGUGCAUUCCAAGGCCCUCCGCACCAAUGGGGCUUUUACGACUAAGGCCAUCGCUGUUGAGCGCUCCGCUGAGCACAAACACUCACUGCAGGUGAAGACGGUGGACAGCCAAAUGGCGAUGAGCGUGUCGAGCAGCUAUGCGCCAUCCCGCCCCGUCGAGAUUGUCGUGCCGGAGAUGCGGCCCGACGCAAACGCACCGCGGGGCUUCAUGCAGGCACUACCAGAGGGCUACAUGGAGAACUACCAGGAGGCGCGUCGCAAGCGCCUGCGUGAGAUGAUGGAGCGCAGCCGCGAGGAGCAGGACCGCAAGCAGGAGCACGAAAUGCUGAAGCGCGUGCGCCAGGACACUGCCAGCGCCGCGACCGGCACGCACGCGGGUACGAGCACAUUCGGCAGCAGCGCGGAAGGGGCCGACGGGUCGUACCCGGAUUUCUCGGACAUUCAGAUGCCGUUGGAGUUUCCGCGCGACGAACAUGGCGUGAAGCGCGGCAACUUUCCUCUCGGUGUGCGCUUCAUUCGGGAUGCUGUCGCGGCGUGCGGUGGCGCGGUAGAGCUGGAUGUGCUUGUGAGUCGCAUCUCAACGCUGGCGAACAGGGAGGCGGUCGCGGAGUUCGGCAACGUGCGCGAGUUCUUGCUGAUCCACUCCCCCACUUUCCGUCUGGUAAACGAGGGCGGCCAGUGGAUUGUGCGUCUGACGAACGACAAGAAUGCCGAUGAGGCGACGUGGAGGUCACUACAGUGCCCGGCGUGCUCAAAGGUGGUGCGCGGCCGCAACUUCGCGCGUCACUACAACUGUCGCCAGUGCAUCACGGCCCAGAUUGCGCUGGGUCUGCAGGACGACGCGGAGGGGCGUGGCGCCAUUGCAGAGCUGGCGCACGCGGCGAAGCGUGUGCUGUCGCUGCGGGAGGCGUGCGACGACGGAGACCUCGAUGCACUCGCCGACUGCCUCGAGCGCGCGGCGGCAGUGAGGCGCUUCCGCCUCGGCUCGACGCGGCAGUUUGCACCAAUCAUGAAGGCGAUGAGGGUUGUGCGAGACUGCUGGCUGGCCAAGAAGGGUGUGGAGGAGGUCGCGGACGCGGAGGUGAAGGCGGUGGAUGUGUCGGUGGGCAACCUGUUUCGCAUAUUCGGCGAGAACAUUCACCGGCUUCCCAUUGCGUGGAUCGAGAUGGGCGACGUGAUUGACAUGUGCCACCGCUUCACAGACAAGGUGGCACCUCCCUUCAACCCUCCCCCGCGGCCGGCGGACCCGCGCAUUAGCCUGCAGAACGAGUACCCGGGGUUCUUGCUGUGCGAGAGUGAGGUGGACGACGAGGAUUUACCCAGCGACGAUGAAGACGAGUUCUCCGACGACGAGGCACCCGCGUUCACCUUUGCGCCACCGGUGGAUGUGGCCGAGUCACUCUUCACAGCCGGCUUCGAGCGGGACACGAAGCGGCUGCAGCAUCGCAUGCGGACGGCACCGCCGAUGGUGCUUCAGCGAGUGCUGCAAACCGACGGCACACAAACGCAGACGGAGAUGUACGCGGAGUUCACAAAGACGGCUCGCACACAAUCGGGUCACUACCAAGGUCACGGCGGCGGGAACGGCAACAGCAGUCGCAAUCGUCAUGGUCACGGUGGCGGCCCUGGGCGGGGUGGUGGUGGCGGCUACCAAGGGCGCAACUUCCCUCGCCCACGUCCGAACUGAAUGCGACGCGGGACACUGCUCGUCUCCCUCCUCCCUCCCCCCCAACCGCGUGCCCUCACGCGCUCUUCUCCUGCUCCUUGGCGCACCGGUUGUGUGUGUGUGUGAGGUCUGUCUUCGUAUCCCUGUCGAUGCAGGACAUUAUAAGUCGUGCAGUUGUGUGUGUGCGUGUGCGCUAUCGGCGGGGAGACGGCAUGUUUAUGCGUGUGCAAGCGCCUGCUCGUUUGUGCCUGUGCAUGGAGUCCUACUAUCACAUUGGUGGACGGCCACCGUUCCGUAACC